CAUGUUCAAAAUCAUUAUGUUGUGCUA
rnacentral:sRNA from 1 species